rnacentral:rRNA from 1 species
GAUGAACGCUGGCGGCGUGCCUAAUACAUACAAGUCGAGCGAACAGACGAGGAGCUUGCUCCUCUGACGUUAGCGGCGGACGGGUGAGUAACACGUGGAUAACCUACCUAUAAGACUGGGAUAACUUCGGGAAACCGGAGCUAAUACCGGAUAAUAUAUUGAACCGCAUGGUUCAAUAGUGAAAGACGGUUUUGCUGUCACUUAUAGAUGGAUCCGCGCCGCAUUAGCUAGUUGGUAAGGUAACGGCUUACCAAGGCAACGAUGCGUAGCCGACCUGAGAGGGUGAUCGGCCACACUGGAACUGAGACACGGUCCAGACUCCUACGGGAGGCAGCAGUAGGGAAUCUUCCGCAAUGGGCGAAAGCCUGACGGAGCAACGCCGCGUGAGUGAUGAAGGUCUUCGGAUCGUAAAACUCUGUUAUUAGGGAAGAACAAAUGUGUAAGUAACUAUGCACGUCUUGACGGUACCUAAUCAGAAAGCCACGGCUAACUACGU